UUAUAACAGAUUUGUCUAAGAAUCGCAGUUUUUUGUUUUGAUUAUUAUUUAUGUAAAAAGAUUGUGUGUACCUAGAUAUAUUUACAUCCACGUUUGAAAUCUAGAUUUCAAUUUUAGAAUACGAUUAUGGUAUCAUAAUUUUAUAUAGCUGAACCUAGUGCCUUUACCGAUAACCGGCUAUAUAGGUAGUUCAAAUGGAUAAAAAAUUAGCCUUCCUUAUUAUUAGUGCUACAGACGCUACAGUGGUGACGAUAAAGAUUACUAAAACAGUAACGCGUUCUAACCGCAUUAAUCGAUGCGAUUUAGAUUUAUCUUUGAUAAAUAGCCUAUGUAAGACUAAACCCGUACCUGGUUUUAAUGUAUCAGCCGUCCUGUAAGCAUUAUCAAAAUCAUUUUUUAACACAGCUUUUAUUAUUUAUUAAGUGUUACAACCAAAAAGAUUUUCAAGGGACAUGGGAAAAUGUUCGUUAUAUUGAUAUUGGUAUAUGGAACGAUGCAACGAUAUUCUCAAAGGGACGAUAGUUUCGUCCGUUAAAUAGAAAUAGUAGUAAUUAUACCGAGUGUCGUUAUAUCGCAGAUUAACUGUAUUUUGUAAUCACCGUCUACUGAGAGACGUCUCCGCCAAUACUGUAUGUACAGUUCUAUUAUGCAUUAUAUGUGAGAUGUCACGGUUUUAAUUUUUGGUUACUCUUACUCAUCCUAAUACAUCAUGAGCUGUCGAGGCCGAUUGCCAUUUUUUAGGAACUCAAUGACGAAACAGGUAUUCGUGUCUACCGGCCGCAGACUUCGUUCGGUCAACCAAUAAGCAAUUCAACAGUGACGUUUCAUUUCAUACGCAGUUUUAACACCAACAGAGAGUGAAAAAAUGGAUCUGCCAUUUCGUCUUUAAAAGACACGAGGGACGUAUCACACAAGUGUGUAAUAUUGGAAUAAUCCAGUAAUGAUACGUAACAUACUAUGCCAGGCGUAUUAAUGCUGUGUGGAACCUCAGAAGGUUUGCGUGCGAGUUGUCAAAAUCACACUUGGGAAUUGUCAAACGUUAACAUCCGACAAGUUGUUAUCAUCACAUUGGAGUUCGAGAAGCCGUUAAUUAUAAGAUAAUUAUGAGUAAAUCAGGAGUUAAGCCCACAAAGUAAUUCCAAUUUAACAG